UGUUCCUACGGGAGGCAGCAGUGGGGAAUAUUGCACAAUGGGGGAAACCCUGAUGCAGCGACGCCGCGUGAGUGAAGAAGUAUUUCGGUAUGUAAAGAUCUAUCAGCAGGGAAGAUAAUGACGGUACCUGACUAAGAAGCCCCGGCUAACUACGUGCCAGCAGCCGCGGUAAUACGGAGGGGGCAAGCGUUAUCCGGAUUUACUGGGUGUAAAGGGAGCGUAGGUGGCAGGGCAAGUCAGAUGUGAAAACCCGGGGCUCACCCGCGGGAGUGCAUUUGACACUGUCCAGCUGGAGUGCAGGAGAG
rnacentral:rRNA from 1 species